ACCCCUCCCUCUGUGUUCCUCUUUGGAGGUGCUCUCUCUUGCUCCUUCGCUCCACGGUCGGCCAUCUCCUCCGACUCCGGCCAUUUCAUCCGACGACUCGAAGGCCAACGCCGUCUCCGUAGCAGCCGAGUCCAUACUCCGACUGUUUUUGACAGAUCUCAUCGCGCCAAUUUCAAAGCUUCAUCCCUACACCAAACGCAGACAUCUCCCUCCACCUAUAUUGUGUAAGCUCGUUCUCCUCCUCCGUCCACCACCUCGCGAGAGCUCUCUUCCCUUGUUGCUUGUUGAUACCACCUAACUUCACCUCUUUCCUAAAAUUUUUGGCCCAUCAACUUGUCGAACCCUAAAAAAUUGGGUAUUUCUUGCUGGUGCUACUCUCUCUCUCUCUCUCUCUCUCCAUACCUAGGUUGGUCCUGCAUCUCAAUCGAUUUGGGAGUGUGUUCAGUUCUCGCGAUGUGGCAACAAUGGUUGGAGCUCGAUCAGUCCACCCUUUUGAGUGUUAAUUAGGAAGAACUAAUCACGUCACGGAGGGAACCAUCGUCUCUUCAAAGCGGUAUGUUUUUAGCCCUUCUCCUUAGAUAUAUAACAUUCUAGCUAGUUCUACGAUUUCCAGUUUAGUUCUGUUGUUAUUGAAAUUGACUUGCCUUUGUAAAUAACUUUCCCCCACCAACUAUUUGAUUAUAUAUGCUUAAUGAAAUUUGUUUCUCAAAUCUAUCAGCCAAACAACUAAUGUAUGACGGGAGAAAUUAUUUACUUAUCAAACCAUAUUCGAUGAGAUUGCUUGAUUAUACACUUGGAUUGGAUUCACUAUGCAAUUGUUGAGAAUGGCCUACAAGCACUUAAGAGCUUGCAGCCCAACGGGUGAUCUCUGCGGGUUCAAAUUUUAAGUAGUCUUUAUUUGAUGUGGUAGCGUUUUUACAUUGUCUUGGUUUCAAUACCCAUAAGAGUUCAGAACCUCUUGGAGAUGGUUCGCGCUUGUGGUGCGGUUUCUAACAGAGUAUAAAACCUAUAGAGAUGAGGUUUUGACUAAGAAUUGGACAGGAAUUUGUUUUGUCCAUUUAGUUUUGAUUCAGUCAAUUGAAGAUGUUGUGAUACUAAUUUUCCUUAUGCAUAAUUGAUACAUUUUCUUUUGUUUCUUACUAUUCAGGAUGCGAGCCACCACAUUCAUUGAACCAUUUCUAGUAAUUGAGGUGAUAGCUAGGAGCCCAUGAGAUUGUAUAAUCAUGGCAACCUACGAGUAUACAUGGAAUGAUAUUGACGAAGGAAAAGUUUGCCCCUUUGCCUCUUAGAGGAUACAUGAGCUGGAUGGAAAGGUGUAUCAGUUCUUACUUUGUUAGUGAUGUUAGUGAAGCUUCUUUUGUGGAACACUUAGUGGCUAUGGCUUGGACAAUAGAGUUUUCAUAUUAUCGCCAUUCUUCCAGAUCGUGUGGUUAAGAAUGAUUGAAAGAAACAAUUUUCCCUUAGAUGAGAGAAGAGCAUAUGGACUCCACACAAGGUCUAUGACUUGAAAAAGAAAGAAGUUCUGUUACUUUCACUAUUGAAGAUGGAUGGAGAUCACUCUACUGCCGGUUGAUCAAUAGCUUCUUUAUGAGUUCAUCUGCUGUGAUUUUUUUGGUUCGUCUCUCUGUUGCUAAUCCUAUUGGUCAAGUGUCCCUACCCUUUGUUUCUUGCUAGUCCUGCCUUAGCUUCUACACAUCAAUUGGUCAUGGUAUGUCUACCUCUGAGAUUGUUCUUGGUUCUGCUUAUCUUCUACUCAUUUCCUAAUUGGCAUCAGGUUGACACGCCAUAAGAGCUUCAAGGAAGGACACAAGAGGAUACUUGAUGCAACAUAUUUGGUGGGUGGGGGAAUUGACAUUGAGCGAGUUAACUUUGUCUUCAACUAUGACAUGCCAGAUUCUGCAGGUACUUAUCUGCUCUGCGUAAGAAGGGUUUUUGGAUUGAAUUGCAUUGAACUUGUCAACCUUGUUGAACCUGCUAUUAAGGUAAGUCUUUUGCCAUUUGUAGUAUACUUGUGGUACUCUUGGGAAGUUUGAAACUCAUCUUGGAUAGUAUUAAUAUGAAUGAGUGGUGACAUCGGUUAAUGACUUGCUGAUUGAAUAUGCAUAAGUUUGGUAGCAGGAAAGAUGGUAUAUAUACGCUCUACUAAGAAGAGUUUUUGUUUGGAUAUAUGCUUCUAUGAAGACUUUAUUUUUGGAUGAAGUUUCAAGUCUUCUUUUCUGGAUAUAUGCUUCUAUGAAGACUCCUUUUUGGUUAAAGUUUCGAGUCUUCUUUUUUUAUUUUAGUGAUGCUACCGAACUAUGAUGAACAUAUAUGGUAUUGAUGCUACUUUUCAUGUUUUUGUCAUGGGGACAUUGAUGCUUUAGACCCUAUGGGUGCGGAUAGACAUUUUGGUGUAGUGUAUAUAGUUCUCGUGGUUAAUGGAUGUCUAAUUUGGACACGAUUAUAUUGGUUUAUGAAGAUGUGUUGGUUAUUACA